GUCUCAAAGAUUAAGCCAUGCAUGUCUAAGUAUAAGCACUUGUACUGUGAAACUGCGAAUGGCUCAUUAAAUCAGUUAUCGUUUAUUUGAUUGUACUUUACUACAUGGAUACCUGUGGUAAUUCUAGAGCUAAUACAUGCGAAAAAUCCCGACUUCUGGAAGGGAUGUAUUUAUUAGAUUAAAAACCAAUGCGAGUCUUCGGUCUCGUUUUCUUGGUGAUUCAUGAUAACUUUUCGAAUCGCAUGGCCUAGCGCCGGCGAUAUUUCAUUCAAAUUUCUGCCCUAUCAACUGUCGAUGGUAAGGUAGUGGCUUACCAUGGUUAUAACGGGUGACGGAGAAUUAGGGUUCGAUUCCGGAGAGGGAGCCUGAGAAACGGCUACCACAUCUAAGGAAGGCAGCAGGCUCGAAAAUUACCCAAUCCCGACUCGGGGAGGUAGUGACAAGAAAUAACGAUACGGGGUCUUAAUAGGUCUCGCAAUUGGAAUGAGUACAAUUUAAAUCCUUUAACGAGGAUCAAUUGGAGGGCAAGUCUGGUG
rnacentral:rRNA from 1 species